rnacentral:lncRNA from 1 species
UGUUUUGGCGCAAUGCGGAAGUGUCGUCUUGAUGCAGUUUUUUGGCUAAAAAGUUGACGAAUUCUUCGUCUCACAACGUCUGUCAUUUGUUUUACGUUUGCCAUCAGUUUUAGGCAGUUACUGUUAGCUGUCGAGAGUACCGGAAUAGACUGUGAAGUAUUUCUAUAGAUCUAAACAGGACAUUUUGUCUGGCAUUCGGAAUUCCUACACUAGUGAUCCAUGAGGACUUUAUCCAGUUUCCAGAAUGGCAGGAAGGAAAGACUUAUUGAAUUGGACCACUUGACAAGGCAGCUUAAAAAGUCAGAAAUUUAAAAGCAGCCACUGGGCGACAGUAAAUUAAAGCUUGUCUACAUUUUCCAUAAAAUUUCCAAAAUAAAUACUGGAAAAAAAAACAACAUGGAAAUACAUACGGCAUCAACUCAAAAUAGCACAGCACCAGAAUGAAUGCGGAAGUUGUCAUGAGUGGUGUGGCAUUGUUCCUGUUCAUUUAUGGUUUACAGAUUCCAAAAGUCUGAACCAGAUAUGAGUAGAGUACAGUUUGAGAAAUGUCUUGGUAGAACAGAUACUAAGGAAAUAAUAAAGAGCAGAACAGACCACAUUUCUCCUUCUUAUAACUGGUAAAGUUCGAAGUAAGGGCGAGUACAAUAAUGCAGCCCCAGUGAGAGUUCGUGAUGAGGUGUCAACUGUAAAUGUGUGGUCGUUAAAUGAUGUGCAGUCAGAUUGACAAGUAUUUGAAGUAACAUUAAUUUAUAAAUUAUCAAUUCUUAGAGAAAUUUUUGCUGAGCUUUGUGCAGGAUACUCUUAAAAAAUACGUGAACCAGAAUUUUAUAUUAUAAGUACAAUGUCAGAUGUACUCCAGACUUCACACAUAUGUUGAUGUUUAUACAUAUGUGGUGAUUAAUUUGUCAAGUGAAGAAAUUUUAUGAAUAAUGUUAGUGGGUGACAGAACCGAAGUACAAAGUCAGUUACAGAGGUCGACAACACUGAGUUUAGGAUGCAGAAAAAAUCUGGUGAUUCUGACGAAACAACAUACAUAGAAAGAUUAUACUAGUAAAAUGAAAACUUUUAGUGUAUGGAAAAGUUUGGAAGCAGGUUUACCAUUGACAGAAGAGACAGUAUUUACAGACUGGUCUACACUUAUUUUGAUUUGACUUUUACACGGUGAUUCCUCCA